AAUUCCGAAUACGAUUCCCACGCUGGAACGCCGGGAAUCGGAAACGUUCAGGCGCCGUAGGAUGUGGCUGCGGCCGAUUAGGUAGACGGUGGGGUAACGGCCCACCGUGCCGAUAAUCGGUACGGGUUGUGAGAGCAAGAACCCGGAGACGGAAUCUGAGACAAGAUUCCGGGCCCUACGGGGCGCAGCAGGCGCGAAACCUUUACACUGCACGACAGUGCGAUAAGGGGACCCCGAGUGCGAGGGCAUACAGUCCUCGCUUUUCUGAACGGUAAGGCCGUUCAGGAACAAGAGCUGGGCAAGACCGGUGCUAGCCGCCGCGGUAAUACCGGCAGCUCGAGUGAUGACCGAUCUUAUUGGGCCUAAAGCGUCCGUAGCCGGCCGGGCAAGUCCGUCGGGAAAUCCACCAGCUCAACUGGUGGGCGCCCGGCGGAAACUGCUCGGCUUGGGACAGGAAGACCCGAGGGGUACGUCCGGGGUAGGAGUGAAAUCCCGUAAUCCUGGACGGACCGCCGAUGGCGAAAGCACCUCGGGAGGACUGAUCCGACGGUGAGGGACGAAAGCUGGGGUCUCGAACCGGAUUAGAUACCCGGGUAGUCCCAGCUGUAAACGAUGUCUGCUAG
rnacentral:rRNA from 1 species